UACGUAGGGUGCAAGCGUUGUCCGGAAUUAUUGGGCGUAAAGAGCUCGUAGGCGGUUUGUCGCGUCUGCUGUGAAAACUCGGGGCUUAACCCCGGGCCUGCAGUCGAUACGGGCAGGCUAGAGUUCGGUAGGGGAGACUGGAAUUCCUGGUGUAGCGGUGAAAUGCGCAGAUAUCAGGAGGAACACCGGUGGCGAAGGCGGGUCUCUGGGCCGAUACUGACGCUGAUGAGCGAAAGCCAGGGGAGCAAACGGG
rnacentral:rRNA from 1 species